rnacentral:rRNA from 1 species
GACGUAGGGCGCGAGCGUUGUCCGGAUUUAUUGGGCGUAAAGCGCUCGCAGGCGGUCCGAUGCGUCGUGCGUGAAAGACCCCGGCUCAACUGGGGAGGGUCGUGCGAUACGGUCGGACUCGAGGCCAGUAGGGGGACGCGGAAUUCCGGGUGUAGUGGUGGAAUGCGUAGAGAUCCGGAGGAACACCAGCGGCGAAGGCGACUACCUGGCCUGUUUCUUGACGCUGAGGCGCGAAAGCUAGGGGAGCAAACGGG